ensembl:lncRNA
CGGCCCCGCCCCUUCUGAUGCCCCUCAUCCUCCUCCAUCCGCGCGCUCUCGUGGAGUUUUGGAGCGUCACGUUAUGAUGGAGCGCGCGCUCCCGCGUCGCUCCCGGUCCCUAUAUCUGUCAUCCGCCACAAGAGCUGACAUCACGCAGAGGAUUACAAUGUCAAAUGUUUUAGGGUCGCGUCGCGGCGAGUUUAUGGCUUCCCCGCACGCGCUUCAGAGGAAUUCCCGUCACCACUUUCUCGAACAACCGAUCAAAUAUUAACUUUGACGAGGUCCUCUCCUCACAGCCCCACGCAGGAUGCAUUCAAGUUAAGAAGGUAUGUGCGUGUGAGCUCCUCCUCCAUCAUGCUGGGGCCCCAACUGGACCGCAACCGCCUGGUCCCCCCAAUGGACGUCUCCAACGGCAACCAUUGUCAGGACAGGGGGUCUCGCGCGGGGCCUGUGGGAGGAACCGGGGAUCCAUCACCAGGUCCUCAGAAGGAUACGGGACAGAGGAGGAGUGUGUGUUGUCUGACCCCAAGGAGAGAGUGACGCCGACGCUGACAUAGAGGACACAGACUGCAGGCUCCAGGAGCCGGGUAGCCUCCAGCGAAUCAGCUCACGGCGGCGCAAGCGUCCGCGGCCGACGCGCCAGGACACCACGGAGAGCGAGGACGACGGGGGGCGGAGCCAGCGGACCCCCCGCUGGAACCCCCGGCUCAGCCCCCACCGCGGCCACAGCAGGACCAUCCUGGAGGAGAGCGUCUCUCAGGUCAGGCCGCUGGUCAUCCGUCGACCGAGCGCCGAGGUGCAGACGGCCCGGCAGCCCGGAGGCUUCCGGAGGCCCCAAGCCAGCGCUGUGGCCUCGGCCCCUCCCCUGCCCCCCGUCUCCUCCUGCUCCUCCUCCUCCUCCUCCUCCCCCUCUCCCUGGUCCUCCUGCUCCUCUUCAGACCCUGGGCCGGUGCCUGACCACCCAGAGUGCCCCCCCUUGUUGCUAGUUAGUAGUGAUCGAGGGUUUGAGUUUAUUAUGAACCAUGCACUACUCAGUAAUACACAGACACAAUAGGAUAGCACACGCAGACAGAAACUUUGGUCCGACGUCCUAUUAAGUCUUUCUUUAGGUUAUUUGGACAUUCUAGAUGUUCAGCUAAGAUAUAUCUACUUUUAGAAAACUUGCUUUGAGGGAUAUUAAUUAUCGGAAAACUUCUACGAGGUAGGAUGUAAGGUGACUUUUGCAAUAUGUUUGGAACAUUCUACUAUUUACUUUUUACUAUUGAGUCAUUAAGACGGACUUUUACCCAAAGCAUCUUAAUGGAGGACCAAGCACCCCAUGUAUUUUGGUUUGCGUUGUAGAACAUUUGUUUGACCUCUACAGGUCAAACAAAUGCAACUGCAGGCUGCUAUUGCAACGGCUGAUUAAGAACGUGCCCGUCCUCCGCUUAUUGAGUCUGCGAGGCCAAAUAAUUAAAUCAAACUUGAAAGCAUUUUCAAAAGGCACAAUUGUGUCAUGCUCACCAAACUUUUAAGUGUUUUUCUUUGUAAUUGAGCGUGUAUGGUUAAAUCCCAUUUCCGUUUCCAAGUCUGUGACAAAUCCUCAGGAAUGCGCCACUGUGUCCAGGUGAUGUCCAUUUCCAUUAAUUGGCAUCAUCUGGGAAGAGUUGGAGCCAAUCAGAAGCACAUGCAGUUAGUAGUGUUUCACCACAAGGGGCCACUGAAAAACGAUGUAUGUACAGUGUUUUUGUAUGUAUUUAUUUAUGUAUUUUCUUUUGACAAAAACAUGUAUUUAUCCUUCAGAGAUUUGAUUUCUAGCGGCACACAAAGUGAUAUUAAUUAUAGAUAAACUAUUAUUAUUGGAUAUAAUGUCAAGCCCUGUCUAUUCAGACUUGCUGUUCACAAAUGAGAAAAGUGGAAUUCUCUUGUCUCAUGUCAACUUUAAGUGAAGAUAGAGCUCAACUAUGCAGUCCCUUAUUACUCCGCCACAGUAAUUCGUAUUAACGUGUAUUUUCCUUCUCAAUCUAUUCAGUUGAGGUCCAUCUAGGGCAGCCCGUAGGCCUAUGCAGUUUAAUCCUGUUUUAAUGUUUAGUUAUAUUUGGAUUGAACAGUCUGUUUAAAAAAGCUCUUUAAUCUUCUCUUGUGCGCGUCUGUGAAGAAAUGAAGGAAAGCGGAUGUGGAAUGAACGUUUGGUUGUUGCUGAUCUUAUUACAAUAUUUGCAAACUGCUUGCUGAUGUAUUGUAAAAAAGAAAAGAAAAGAAAAAGGAUAUUUUCCAACCCUACAACCCUACAAGCAUAGGGCCUUCAGGAAACUCAAAUGACAAUCCUUACGCCUAUAAGCUAUACUGAAUAGGGAUGAAGCCAUCUUGAUGUAAUUUCACUAAACAGUGUAUUUAAAUUAAUGUGAUUAUGAGAUAGCUUUGUUGUUUGAUGAUGUAAAUACUCAUACAUUUUGUCGUCUCUGCACCUCAGUAGCCCUCCUUUGUCAUGCAGCAUUAUAUAUAGUUUUCCCUCCAUUUUGUGGCAGUGUUUUCCUGCGUCUGCACAUUAUGCUACUGACCAAGUUUCAUUGGAGCACAAUGUUUUCAUUAAAACCUAAAUUGUAUUUUGAC